ensembl:rRNA 5S_rRNA 5S ribosomal RNA
UUAAACAGCGAUAUAACCCUGCAGUCCAAAGACUGGUUACUUACUGAAACUAAGCAGGGCUGAGCCUGGUAAGUACCUGGAUGGGAGACCACAUGAAAACACUAGGUUGCUGUUGGAA